AUCCCAUAAUGCAAAGCGGGACAGGAAGGGAGGGAGGAGGAAGAGAAGAAACAAGAGGAAGGAGGUGAAGAACCAGAAGAUUGAAGGUGAAGGAAAUGAAGUUAGAGAUGAAAACCAGACAGAUGAGGAAGAGGAGGAAGAGGUGAGAGGAUUAGAGCCAAUCAGCAUGAAGAUGUUGGUUCCUCCUGAUCAGAACCAAAACGGUUCAAACUUUGUUUCACUCUGGAGUCCUCCACUAUGUUCAGGACUGAGCUGCCAUGACACCAGCCGGAUCCAGAUCUCCCCCUCAACCUCUUCAGAACCGGUCCAGAACCGGUCCUGCUGCUCAGGGUGAAUUAAAGCUUAAUCCAGAGACGGAUCCAGGUGGAGCUAAACCAGAAACCUGGUUUUAAAUCCCUGGUUGGGACGCGCCAGGAUUCAGGAUGCUUUAGAAAUGCAGCCAUGUUGCCUCAACUUCCGCUAAAUACGGCAUUAGCCUAUUGCUUUAGCAUUAACUUCCGCUAAAUACAGCAUUAGCCUAUUGCUUUAGCAUUAGCUUCCACUAAAUACAGCAUUAGCCUAUUGCUUUAGCAUUAGCUUCCACUAAAUACAGCAUUAGCCUAUUGCUUUAGCAUUAGCUUUUGCUAAUUGCAGUGUUAGCAUAUUGAUUAAGCAUUAGCUUCUGUGAAAUGCUGGUACAGUGCUUCAGCAUUAGCAUAACUAAUAUUUCUGAAAAAUGCUUUUGGGUUAGCGCAGCCAACUUUUCAUCCAGGUUCAUCCUGGUCUCGUUAGUCCAGAACUGGAAGGAAACCUUCAACAUCUGAACCGUUAGCUGCUUCCUAGCCUGGCCAGCAGAGGGCGACCUGGAGGCUGGAGGUUUUUCCUCAACAAGCAGAACCUCCACAUAUUUGUUCUCAAUUAAACUCCGUCUCCACACGGGGACGGAGCGAAUUCAGGACAUCCUGAUGCUGGUUGGCUGACCGGGUCGGCAGGUUCUGCAGAGACCCGUUAGCGUCUCUGACCGGGCCUUCGGCCAUCUUGGCGUUUAAUCUGAAUUUUAGGAUCUGACGCAGAAAUUUGACCAACAAAACAGAACAAGCUGAGACCAGAGCUGAGAAGAAACCAGAGGAUGAACUACAAAUUAAAGGCUGACGUGUUGCCACGGUUACAGUAGGGCGGUUUUCUUUGGCGUAGUAAUUAGUGAAUCUAAUCUCUGGGGUUUUCCAGCUCUGGUCUCCCAGAGAGGACGGGUCCAGAUCUGGUUCUGACGGUAACAUGUUGCUUCUCUGCAGACGCAUGAACAGAUGACAUGAACGUGUUAUUGAGGCGGGGCGAGGCGUUACGAUGGAGACAGGUGAGAAAAGAGGACCUGGGUGGGGAGGGGGAUUAUCUCUCGGCCAAUCAGAGUUCUGCUCACACAGACUCAACUAAUCACAGGAAGCCCUGCAGCAGAUCUCAGGUCUGAUGUUCAUCGCGGUACCAACAGAAUCUCUGAGGCAUCUGAUGAAGAGUCUGGAAAAACCCAAAACGCCCCAGAUGACCUCUGACCCCUUCUACCUCUGGCGCUCCGCUGAUGGAGGCGCCACAGUCUGAGCGGCCUGGUCGUGCGGUUAGAGCUGUAGGUUGAGAUUUUCCUCCUGGCGAUCUGAAGAUGAUCUGGAUGAUGAGAGUUCAGAGCGACCGGAUCUGGACGGGAGGCUAUCCGGACGGAUCCAGAAUAUUCCUGGCCCGAUGUCGUAGCCUGCUGAGUGUGACGUCAGCCAAUCAGGAAGCGAGGUGACGGAAACGUGGAGGGGAAUCCAAAACGAUGGACGAUGGAGACGUUUAAUGUCGUCCACAAACCGUCUGCACUGCUUCUUCCCUGGCGGCCAUGUUUGUUUACUCCGGUUUGGGUUGGAGACUUCCUGUCUGACUGGACGUUGAUGAGUGAAGUCGGCAGGUGUUGGCGUUGCUCCUUGCCAAACGACAAACCGGUUACACCCCGCAGGUUUAAUGGAAGCAUGUCGGGUCUCUCUGGUUUCACUGGUUUUGCCGUCUGAACCAGUAGGACGCUGCUCAGGUUCUUCCUCCUGGUUCUGGUCUCGGGUCGUCUCUGGAGUCUGUCUCUCUUCUGGAUAUCUUGUGCCCCAAUGAUUUCUUCUCUUCUGUUUGAUGUUUAAAAAUUUCUUCUAAAGAAACUUUUGACCCAUUUUCUCCCGUUUCCAUGGGAACCGACUCGGACGGAAUCUGGACUUUUUACCCCCGGAUUCGAGCCGCCGACGUCCUGCAACCUUCAGAGAGCAGAACCGGGCCGAGGCUUUUCUGGAGACACCGGGUCAGUUGGACCUGAGGACCCGGUCCAGUCAGAGCAGACGAGUUCUUGGUUUCAGUCGGAUCCGUCUGUCAUAAACUGGAUCCAGGAACCGGUUCCGUUAAGAAGAACUCAGGUCUGAGGUUCUCUAGAACUCAGCAAGAAAAUGGAAAAGCUCCUACAGCUCCUAUGUUCAGAACCGAACCAUGUCCAACCUGAUCUGGUUCUGACCCAGUUAAAACCCGGUUCUGGCCUCUCAUAUCUGCAAAGCAGGAAGCGACUGGCAGCUAGAAGCUUCAGAAACAGGGAGGGGAGGGGGGACAGGAGCGAGCUCUGGUCCGAAUGUUUGCUCCAGGAACGGUUCCAGAACCAGAACGGCUCUAAAGUGGAUCAGACAUUUAAACUGUAGGAGCAGAACCGGGCCUCUGAGACCAGAACUGGUCCAGAUCCAGACCGCUGACAUCAGUAAGGAGUUCUGUGGGAACUUCAUAAAGAAAUCCUGACCAACAUAAUCUGAGUUUAAGACAAUUUACAAAAUUAUAAUUUUGUAAAACAUGAAAGUGAAAACUAGAGUGGAUUACAGAUUAGGGCUGACACGAUUCCUCUAAUGAUUCGAGUUCCUCGAUCACUAAAAUUCCUCCAGGAAAAUGUUCCUGCCUCUCAGCUUCGUUAGUUUAUGUUUUAUCAUUUAGCGCGCCGUGUUCCGGCCGGAACAUUAUUUGCGUUGCACAGAGCUCCGACUUCCGCCUCCGAGUUGUGACGUAAGCUAAGAGCUAUCAUCAUAACGUCCAAUCUUCAAGUUCGGCCCGCGGGGAUUUUAUUGAUUAGUGAUAAUUCCGGGUUUUCAUCGUUUUCGGGGAACCAAUAAUCAUCCUUAAAUGACCGGAGCGAUCCGGGAGUCCGGCAGCCUUUCUGCUCCGGAGCUGCUGGUUCAGAGCUGAGGAGGAUUUCUACAGGUGAGAGGAGAGACAGAG